rnacentral:rRNA from 1 species
AGUUCGGAUUGAAGGCUGAAAUUCGCCUUCAUGAAGCCGGAAUUGCUAGUAAUGGCAGGUCAGCAUACUGCCGUGAAUACGUUCCCGGGCCUUGUACACACCGCCCGUCACACCAUGAGAGUUGGGAAUACCCGAAGCCUGUGAGCUAACGUUAAGAGGCAGCAGUCGAAGGUAGAAUCAAUGAUUGGGGUGAAGUCGUAACAAGGUAAC